rnacentral:rRNA from 2 species
GAGCGGACUAAUGGGAGCUUGCUCCCGUUAGUUAGCGGCGGACGGGUGAGUAACACGUGGGCAACCUACCUGUAAGACUGGGAUAACUUCGGGAAACCGGAGCUAAUACCGGAUGACAUAAAGGAACUCCUGUUCCUUUAUUGAAAGAUGGCUUCGGCUAUCACUUACAGAUGGGCCCGCGGCGCAUUAGCUAGUUGGUGAGGUAACGGCUCACCAAGGCGACGAUGCGUAGCCGACCUGAGAGGGUGAUCGGCCACACUGGGACUGAGACACGGCCCAGACUCCUACGGGAGGCAGCAGUAGGGAAUCUUCCGCAAUGGACGAAAGUCUGACGGAGCAACGCCGCGUGAGCGAUGAAGGCCUUCGGGUCGUAAAGCUCUGUUGUUAGGGAAGAAUAAGUGCUAGUUGAAUAAGCUGGCACCUUGACGGUACCUAACCAGAAAGCCACGGCUAACUACGUGCCAGCAGCCGCGGUAAUACGUAGGUGGCAAGCGUUGUCCGGAAUUAUUGGGCGUAAAGCGCGCGCAGGCGGUUUCUUAAGUCUGAUGUGAAAGCCCCCGGCUCAACCGGGGAGGGUCAUUGGAAACUGGGAAACUUGAGUGCAGAAGAGGAAAGUGGAAUUCCAAGUGUAGCGGUGAAAUGCGUAGAGAUUUGGAGGAACACCAGUGGCGAAGGCGACUUUCUGGUCUGUAACUGACGCUGAGGCGCGAAAGCGUGGGG